GGGANUUCNGCAGUGNUAAAAUNUUAAGCAAUGAANGAAAGUUUGACUAAGCUAUACCUCUUAGGGUUGGUAAAUUUCGUGCCAGCCACCGCGGUCAUACGAUUAACCCAAACUAAUUAUUCUCGGCGUAAAACGUGGUAAUUAUGAUUAACAUAAAUAGAAUUAAAAUCCAACUUAUAUGUGAAAAUUCAUUGUUUGGACCUAAAUUCAAUAACGAAAGUAAUUCUAAUUUAUAUUAACACGAUAGCUAAGAUCCAAACUGGGAUUAGAUACCCCACUAUGCUUAGCCCUAAACUUGAAUAAUUAAAUAACAAAAAUAUUUGCCAGAGAACUACUAGCCACCGCUUAAAACUCAAAGGACUUGGCGGUACUUUAUAUCCAUCUAGAGGAGCCUGUUCUAUAAUCGAUAAACCCCGCUAAACCUUACCAUCUCUUGCUAAAUCAGCCUAUAUACCGCCAUCUUCAGCAAACCCUAAAAAGGCACUAAAGUAAGCGCAAGAACAAACAUAAAAACGUUAGGUCAAGGUGUAGCCAAUGAGAUGGAAAGAAAUGGGCUACAUUUUCUUAUAAAAGAACAUUAACGAAAUCCUUUAUGAAACUNAAAGGAUGAAGGAGGAUUUAGUAGUAAAUUAAGAAUAGAGAGCUUAAUUGAAUAGAGCAAUGAAGUACGUACACACCGCCCGUCACCCUCCUCAAAUUAAAUUAACCUAACUAUACAUAAUUAUUACCAUUAAAUUUAUGAGAGGAGAUAGUCGUAACANGGUAAGCAUACUGGAAAGUGNGCUUGGANNNNN
rnacentral:ncRNA from 1 species